CCCUAUAAAACACUGCAACGCCUUUACUUUGAAACUCCUUAGCGGAAACGUUGGUUAGCUCAGCUAGCUUGACCGCUAACCUGCUCACCGAAAGUCUCUUUGCAGCCGCUGAAAAAACGGUAUUGUGCUGGGCUUUCUCCUUCAUCCCUUCCUUCCUUUGAGCAAUGCGUUGUCAAGCAGGGAGGUGAGAGGAGCCCGGCUCUUCACUCCUUCAGGCUGCUCGGGAGCCAUGGCGGGGCGGACACUGAGGAGGAAGCAGCGGGUCCACGGCAGCGGCUCUGAGGAGGAGGGAUCCAUGUUAACGUUAUACCUGCCGCACAGCCACCGCUGCUAGAGACGGAACACACUGCUGACGGCUGCUGAAGUUUCACACACACAUAUUCAGCUUUAUAACAGCUGCUUCAACUCUCGACUCACUGGUGUUUAAUAAUGUCUCCUGGUUCAUAGCGCAGAGUUUGUUCUGCUUCUUUUUCCAACCAGACUGAACUGUUCCGUCUGUCCGGUUAAGCCCUCUGUACCCCGGCGUAAAUCUGGCGUACUGUCCCGCAGUGGCUCACAGAGCGCCUCUCUAAUAUAUCGAAGUCUGUGGGGGUUGACAUGGGGGCAAAGCAGAGCAGCCCCACUGCUAACCCAGCUGCUAACGGACGGACCAGAGCCUACUCCGGCUCGGACCUGCCCUCCAGCACUUCCAGCAGCAACGGUAACAGGAGCACCGCCGGGGGGGUGAGGUACCAUGGGUACAGUGCGUCCGGAGCCUCGUCCAGCACCAGCCAGCACCAUGGAGCCAGGGCUCGUUCUGCAGGGGGGUCCGGAGGCUCUGGGACCCGACCUUAUUCCGGGAUAAACAUUCCCAACAGCAGCGGAGCCUACAGCUCCCAGGAGUCCGGGGGGAGCAGCCCGGAGGAGGCGGACCGGCAGCGGGCUGGAGGUCAGGAGGGUCCCCGGCUGUUGAUAGGAUCUCUUCCAGCACACCUCUCGCCUCAUCUAUUCGGAGGCUUCAAGUGCCCCGUGUGCUCCAAGUUUGUGUCCUCAGAGGAGAUGGAUCUGCACCUGGUUCUGUGCUUAACCAAACCCAGAGUGACGUAUAACGUGUGCAAAGCAGGUAGACCGAGCAGCUGGACCUGACUCUGACUGUGUGAGUCAGGUCAGUGGAUGGGAUGCUGCUGUAGCGCCUGUACUUAUUGUACUCUGCCCAGGAAGCAGCCGUCUGUGGGUUUUGACCAGAAGCAUGAGAUAUAAAGACCAUCUGCCCGACAUCCUUUGAUAAUGAUCAGAAUCGUGUUCCUGGAACAGGAUGAUAUAGGUGACACCUCAGGGUGACACCUCCACCGCUGCAAGCUCGUGAUGAUGAAAGGAGCAUUCUGGAAGUUUAUGAAAGCUGUAUCAGGUUCUCUGGUCAACAGAAGCUGAAGGUCACACUGUUGGUGCACAUUGAAACACAUCUUUUAAUAAGGACUUUACCCAAGCUUAACAAAGAAGUGAAAGCCAGUAAAAAGAGAGAAACAUUAGAAAAUAAGAAUCACACAAUGAUAAGUAAGUGAGUAUAAUACUUGUCUAUUACACGCUCCGAGAGCAACACAGAAGUGUAACAUAUUGCGCUAAGUUUAGCUUAGCAUAAAUGCUGGAAACACGACUCUGUCCCGAGUUCAAAGACACACCAUCACCCUCCAUCGUUCUGGUCGUUUUUGCUAAACUAGACUAUUUACACCCGUAAUCUAAAGCACCAGAACAGUUUCACAGGGCUGCAGGGAAAUAUUCUGAUGGGUAAAACAUGCUAACAACAAAGACUUUCAUUCUCAUGGAAGUUCCUCCCUGGCCACAGACACCGACGUGUUUGCAUCAUCCACCUGCUGACAAAAUAACACGACUCCUAGACUUUCAGGGGUUAUCAGAGCAAAGGGUUGCUAUUCUGAUAAAACCUGUGUGUUUGACACUAACUGUGAAUUAGAAACGGUGUGUUAUGUGUCAGUGUGCACAGCGCCUGUAUUAAUGAUAUUACUGUAUCUUCAUCUGUCUGUGUGACGGCUGCAGAGAACAAUACUGAACAACAUUCCCUAACAAAGCUAAUAGCUGUUGUUGUCCCCCCCGUCUGUGUGAACUAAUGACGCACUGAGCGGCACUGUCGGUGCAUUAAAAGGUUUUCCCCUCAGCUGAGCUGGAUGCCAUGUGCUGCAGCCCAUAAUAACUGGCUUUUCCAGGCCUAUGUGGGUUAAUCCACUGUUACAUAAGGCCGCUCUAAUGACUGUGUUGUGCUGCAGGUGACUGCUUCAAUGGUGGGCACGCUCACUUCCUCUUUAGACUGCAGCACAGCAGUGUAUAGAAAAUAAUGCGUGUGUGCACACUGUUCACACACAGACGCUAUCGAAAUGGAUCAUAUAAAAAAUAUGAGUUCACUAGAGGCCUACUGACUUUAUACUGACCCUUAAAUAGUCCAUUAAUUGUAUGUAUUAUGUAUGCAUUGAGGCGUGCGGGAAUGAGAGCUAAAGAAGAGGAACUGAAUUAGCAUAUUAUUCUGGUUACCUCGUCUCGAGGUCAACUGUUUUUUAAUCUUUUUUUAGAAGCCUGGGGUAAGAUCUGUAGUGAACACACACUGGAGAGAUCUUUCUGGUUUCUCUACGACAAAUAUAUUAUUAUAAUAUAUAAUAAUAUUAAUAUCCUGUGUUAGAUUCUUAAUAUGAAUGUUAGGCUGUCAUUGCUCUGCUGUCACGAGCAAACGUUUAUUUACUCGUAUAUCUUGACGUGAUCUUUCAUAUAUUCGAUAGGAGCGUAUUAUUUAGUGCUGGAGUAAUGAAAAUCUGUCUCUGUCCAAUGCUGAUAUUUAGAAUGCAGACGUUUGUUUUGCAUCUGAUAAAAUGCAACAAUACAAUAAUAAUGAAUAAGACACACGUUAAGAUAACAUUUAUUAAAAACUGUUACAAAUCUGAAAGUCUGUUUGCGUAGUCUGUCUGCAGUGCACUUAAAGGUCUCCUACUAUGUUAUAUUUGACCAAUAUAUUGUAGGGCCAUAUCUCUACAAAACUUGUCUGUGAAGUGUUUUGCUCAAAAUACCAAACAGAUCCCCCAUUGCAGCAUACCUCAUCCCCCUCUAUCUCAGCCCUGUUCCUGAAGUGCUGAUUCUGUGACUGUAGCUUUCAAUCAACUAGCUGCUGCUGACCACGCCCCUUUGAGGUGCUGCUGGCCACGCCCCUUUGGAGCUGCUGCUGGCCACGCUCCUUUGGAGCGUCAUGAUCUCUCCUCUGAAGAGAGUUUUCUACCAGGAGAAACUCAGCUAAACGCUGCCGUGAUUAAACGCCAUAUUAUGUUCCAAACCACAUCCAGCAUUAUCUCUGAAACACUUCUCAGUGUUUACCACUAGAACAGACACAUUAUAUGUAUCAUAUAAACAACAACUCUUAAGUCCCUCCUGUAGACAUCCUGCUGAACACACAGACACACACACACACACACACAGAGGAGCUGCAGAGGGGAUUCAGCUCACUGACUGUAUAUGGGGGACGAUAUGUUGGGACGUGUCACAUGGUGGGACGUUGCCAGGAGUUCAAUUUAAAGCCAGCCCACAUUUCGGUUAUGAUCUCAUAUCGGCAGCAAAUCUGGAUCAGUUCGUUUGCACCCCCGUUUUUAAAGAUGUGGGUAAGGAGGAAAAGAGAGAGGGUUGUAUUUUCUGACUCAUUGUGAGUCUCCUUAAACACUGGGGACACAUAUUUAUGUAUAAAAGACAUCAGAAUGUGCAUUUUGUAUAAUAGGGGACCUUUAAAGAAAAUAAGGAUCAACUUAAAUUGGGUUGUCCAAUUAUUUUCACUGAGGGCCACAUACAGAAAACCAUAUGAGGGGCUGGACCCCUCACUGAGGUGAGGUAAAUUGCCUUAUACAGGAGGUUAAGUUAUAAGUUAGCAAAAUGAAUCAAAUGUAGGUAAAUGAUGCUUGAUACUUGAAUAUGCUUAAAGAAAUCACAGCUUCAGAUUGAUUAUAAUAAGGGGAAAUAUGAAGGGUCUAUUAUAAGCCUGUUACGCAAAUAAGUUAUUUGCCUUUUUUUCUUAACUAAGAUUUGUUAGAAAAUGUUUAAACUUUAAAUGACUGAAUUUAUUUGAACAGUCAGCUUAUUUACACAUGAAUUAAGCCGGCCGUAGUUUGGACACCCCAAACUAAAUGAAUGUCCAAAGGUGAUUGAUUGUCUUUGUAGUUAGAGGAAUUAAAUAAAUGAAUAGACACAUGUAGCUCACUUUGACCUUCACCUGGCCUGGCUUGCAUAGUUUUGGCCUGUAAAUAUCUGAAAACAGGGAUUGCUAUGUGUUGCUCUGUCUCUCACACUGCAGAGCAACAGUCAGCGUCCCGUGGAACGUGCUGAACCUCCACGGCACUGCUGUGAAUGUAGACUCAUUGUCGCCAGAGCAACUGCACCCCCACGACCACACUCUGCACACAAUACAUCAUCAUGCAGUGGGAAUAUUGCAGACAUUCCUGCACACAAUCAGCUGUUUGAAUUGAAGGAGCCUGUGGGCUCUCCUCGCACUCUCAAGGACAAUGUUAUCAUUUAGGAGGAGAAGACAAUAGCACUUAUUACUUAUGACUUUAGAAAAAUACUAUGAAUUAUAAUAGAAACAGGUUGUUGGAGUUUAAUUAAAACAACUGAAGGUCAAACGUAUAAAACAGUCUCUUUCUGUGGUAUCCUUCCAUACUUCAAGAAGAGGAAGUAAUGGCAGCUGUGAAUCUUUAGACUUUCUGUAAACGACGCCUGGUGUGUGUUGUUGCAGAGGACGUCCUGACGAAGGAUGCAGGAGAGUGUGCGAUCUGCCUGGAGGAGCUGCAGCAGGGGGACACCAUCGCCCGCCUGCCCUGCCUCUGCAUCUACCACAAAGGCUGUAUCGAUGAGUGGUUUGAGGUGAACAGAUCAUGUCCGGAGCAUCCAUCAGAUUAAAGCUUUUUUUGCACAGGUACAAUGUGAGGGAUCUGCGAGGUGCAGCGUGGAUCCAGAGAGACUGCUGGACACUGUGAUCAGUUCAACCCACCCAAUAAUGUAGUACCGCUGUGUGCCAAAUCUCAUUGAAGUAUCCUCAGGGAUCCAGACUUUGUGUUUAUGUUUGAGUUGCACAUCCACGCUCAGUCUCAGACUCUCUCCCGCCCCCACACACACACACACACACAGGCCUACCCCCCCUGAGCCCACUCCCACUGGACUGCAGGAGAUGGAAGUGGGAGAUGGACACGGUCCUGGAUGUUGGGUCAAGGUGGGAGGGCGGGACCAUCUCACCAUCACUGCCAUUCUAUUGGUCCAGGAAAAACAGCUAGAGACAGCUCGGACACCUUCAGAACUGAAGCUGCUGCCACAAUGGUGCCAAUCAACUGUGAACAUACACCAACACACACACACACACACACACACACACACACACACACACACACACACACCAGUCAAUCAUUAGUGCUUUUUGAUCAUAUGCCAUGGAGAAAAAUCCAAUCCUGGAAAGACUCACACACUCACAAGCCAGCGGAGUGUUUCUGACGAGAUGAAGAACGUUUCUAGUGUUAUGAAGAGAAACUGUUUCUGUUGUAAAGAUAUUCUUUUGAUUUUGUGUAAUAACGAGAAGGAUUUGUGAUACACCAAAUGAAGAGAAAUGUUGUUAUAACAAGAAAAAGUUAAGACAAAAUAAGCUGUAGUGAUAUCAAAAAACAUAUAAUGUGAGAAUAUCAUUUUAUAACUUGGAUAGGAUCUCGUAACACGUUUUCAUCUGUUUGUCUUUCCUUUUUUAUCCAGUUGCUCUGUCUCUUGUUUUGUGCUUCUCCAUGGGAAAUGUGUUUUCAUGAAGUCUGUGUAGUCUCUGACGUAGGCCGUGUAUUAUUUAAAGCAUUUGAUCAUACUUCAGGUGCGACAAAUACACUGAAACUGGUUCCCAAUGAUUUGAAGUUCACAUUUGCCAUAUUUGUAUCCUUAAAAGAUCUUCCCUCAGUGUGCAGGUUCAGGGACAAAUUGACAACAAAGCAAACACCUUUACAAAUGGAUAAUAUGGGUAAAACAGAUUAAUAACGCUUUCUUUUAAAGAUAUAUACCUUUUUUUUUUAUGGAAUGACACCAAAUAAUAGUUCAUAUAUAUCUAAUAAUAGGAGUAUUUUCUGUGCAGCAAACCUCAUCAUAUUUAAUACACAUGUUAGUUGUAUUUAUUGUGUUUUACCCCCUAAUGUUCCCUGUGGAGUUAUUCCUGAUGUUCAGGUGGCAGAGACAUCAGCAGCGACAGGAACGUGAAUGUAAACUCGGACACACACAACGUGAAUGUAAACAUGACUCCUGUUUGUAUCCAAGAAGAGUCCACAGGGCUGUGAUUUCAUCCUCCGAUUCUAUCUAUCUGCUCUGUGUGCUCUAUUUCUACAACCUGAGCCUGUUAGAGAGACAGCACACUGAGGGGCUGUGGGGGGUGCAUUAUGAACCAUACUGAUAACGUUAAUGUGAACUUCAAACACCAUUUAGUGGGGGGUUAGAUUUUUGGGGGCGUAGAGAGGAGAGAGGGAUGGUAAAUGAGACACAAAGAUCUCCGGUCAGGUGGCAGUGCUGUGAUUUACAUAUUUAAAUAUACAAACAGCUCCGGAAACAGGGCCACUCCACAUAUUUCCUAAAUCUCAAUCUUUACAUUUAAGGCAGCCAGUCCAGUGUGUGUUGAAAAACACACACAAAUGUUGUCAAUAGGUUAUAGAAUACAAUAAAAUAAUAAUUGAACCCAAAGACAUACCUAUAAAUAAUAAAACCAGAGAAACUGAUAAUGCUGCAAUGGGCUCUUAAUCUUCUCAUGAGCUAUAUUUAUAUAUUUAUAGAAUCACAGAUCUCUAUAUCUAUAUAUAUAGAUAGAUAUAUAUUAGUUUGCUCCUCCAUCCUCAAAAAUACAUUAACUUCGGAUCAUUGGAUAAUCUGACAAUAUGACUCAAGUGACAUUGUUUGACUGGAAACUACAAUCUUAAAGCAUGUGUGUAGUUAUUCAUUUCUCAAACACAACCAGCAUCCACAACGUACUUUAGGAAGCUCCAGAACAUCUAAUCUAGCACUUAAUCAUUUUCAAGUGCCUGAUUAAACAAAAUCAUAAACCCACAUCAGUCAAAAUGUUCUGUUUUAUUAUUUAAAUCACAGUUCAGGCCUGCAGUGCCAAGCAGAGCCACUGAACCCUCACACAACCACUGUCAGCACACUGUGGGUCAUGUGACUGCCUGAGCAUUAAACAGCCCCCCCUCCUAUCACCUGAUGGGAGCAUGUAUGAGACUGGCAGGAGAGGAGCGGAGCCAGUUUUCUAUUUCCUUUUUAUUAAAAAAAACAACGCCCUCCAUUCUUAUUUCCUUCCCCCCACCCCCACCCUGACUUUAAGAGCUGCUUCGACUUUCAAUUCCACUUUCAAUUCCAAAGAUCGAAAUAAAAAAGAGUUAUAAUUGAACGUGA